CUACGAAGGGGGCUAGCGUUGUCCGGAUUUAUUGGGCGUAAAGAGCUCGUAGGCGGUUUGGCAAGUCGGGUGUGAAAUUUCGAGGCUCAACCUCGAAACGCCACUCGAUACUGCCAUGACUGGAGUCCGGUAGAGGAGUGCGGAAUUCCUGGUGUAGCGGUGAAAUGCGUAGAUAUCGAGAGGAACACCUGCGGCGAAGGCGGGUUGCCUGGGCUGAUACUGACGCUGGAGGCGACGAAAGCCAGGGAGCGAACGGG
rnacentral:rRNA from 1 species